GUUGGCGCUAUAUAAAUGGCAAUAAUAUGUGCACUUAAUAUGAAAUAGGUGAAUUGCAGUUGAAUAGGCAAAAAAACACCUUAUUAAAUCACAGUGGCCCGUAGGUCAUUGAGGUUUAGGAUCUAUGAAUAGAGGAUAAUAGGUGUGCGUAGCCUAUUGCAUUAGGGUGAGCACCCUAAAGCACAAACACACACGCCACGUGUAUGUGUCUAAUAGAGAUAGAUAUAUAUAGAUAUAUAUAGAUAUAAUCUCUCUAAAUAGCAAUAUAAACUAACAUUUAGCUACACAGGCAAAGUAGCAUUUGCCCCUCUCCCAAAACACAGGGGUUGAGACCACCUUAUUCCUGGUGGAAAGGGG